UACGUAGGGCGCAAGCGUUGUCCGGAAUUAUUGGGCGUAAAGAGCUCGUAGGCGGCCUGUUACGUCUGCUGUGAAAUCCCGGGGCUUAACCCCGGGCGUGCAGUGGAUACGGGCAGGCUGGAGGCAGGCAGGGGAGAACGGAAUUCCCGGUGUAGCGGUGAAAUGCGCAGAUAUCAGGAGGAACACCGGUGGCGAAGGCGGGUCUCUGGGCCGAAACUGACGCUGAGGAGCGAAAGCGUGGGGAGCAAACAGG
rnacentral:rRNA from 1 species